AGAGUUUGAUCAUGGCUCAGAACGUACGCUGGCGGCACGCCUAACACAUGCAAGUCGAACGAAGUAGCAAUACUUAGUGGCAGACGGGUGAGUAACAUGUAGGUAUCUACCCUAUGGCCUGGAAUAACACGAGGAAACUUGUGCUAAUACUGGAUAAGUCUUUACGGAGAAAGCUUUAUGCACCAUUGGAUGAGCCUGCACUUGAUUAGUUUGUUGGUGGGGUAAUGGCCUACCAAGACUUUGAUCAAUAGCUGAUUUGAGAGGAUGAUCAGCCACAUUGGGACUGAGACACGGCCCAAACUCCUACGGGAGGCAGCAGUGGGGAAUCUUGCACAAUGGAGGAAACUCUGAUGCAGCGAUGCCGCGUGAGUGAAGAAGGCCUUUGGGUUGUAAAGCUCUUUCGUCGGGGAAGAAAA
rnacentral:rRNA from 1 species